ACGGUCAUAUAUAGAUAAAACACCGGUUCCUGUACGAAAAUCGAAGUUAAGCAACGUAGGGCUUGGUCAGUACAUGGAUGGAUGACCGCUUACGAAUAUCAGCUGUUGUA